AAAUUUUUCAUUGACAGUUCUUUGUUAAAGAAGAAGAACGAAUUUUACAGUUUGAUUGGGAAAAAAUUACUGCAAGUUUAUUUAUUGUGUGUAUUGUGCUGACUCAACUUUAAAAAAAGUAUAAAAAUCUGAAAAGAACGAAAUUUUGAGUGAUUGCUGCCAAUAUUCUUUGCACAAUGGAUUUCGGCGAUGAUUUUGCCCCCAAAGAGGAAGUUGAUCCCGCAGCCGAGUUUCUGGCACGUGAACAAUCUGUUCUCGGUGACCUCGAAUCGGAAAUCGUACCUCCAUCAAAUACUGCUCCCAGUGCACCGGCCAGCACAGAUGGUGGCAAUGGACUACUUGGCAGCGAUGAACUAGCCCCUAAUGCGGUUGGCGGCGGACUUGGUUCAUCUACCGGUAGCUUUGAAAUGAUUGGUGGUGAAUCAAAUGAACCAGUCGGUAUAUCGGGACCACCACCUUCUCGGGUUGAACCUGAAAAAAUAAGAAAAUGGCGAGAGGAACAAAAACAACGUCUCGAAGAAAAAGAUAGGGAAGAAGAACGUAAGAAAGAAGAGUUGCGUCUGCAGGCGAAGCAGGAAUUGGAAGAUUGGUUGCGUCAAACAGAAGAAUCUAUCGCUAAAACCAAAGCGGCCUCACGCAACGCUGAAAAGCAGGCAGCGGCGCUUGAAAAUGGUGGACCCAUGGAACCGGGAACCGAGUGGGAGCGCAUUGCAAAAUUAUGCGAUUUCAACCCAAAAGUGAACAAAUCAGGCAAGGAUAUCUCACGCAUGCGGUCUAUAUACCUACAUUUGAAACAGAAUCCCAUUCCCCUGGGUAAUACAUAUGUACAUAUCGUUACUUCCCUGCCAGCAAAUGAAAGAUAAUUUUAUUGCCUAUCGCCACGAUGUCGCUCCUUCGUCACUAUUGGAAGUUAUACUGUGCUCGGACGAUUUUUACCCCUUGAAAUUUUGAAAAUUUCCAAAGCAAAUCUUGGAAGUUCAUUCGAGUAAAAUUAUACUUUUUACUUUAUUUUUAAUUAACGUGCAAGCAAUGUGUAUUUUAUACACAUAAUGUUUUUAUCAUGCAAGCCAUCAUAUUCGAAUAACAAAUAAUAUAAUUACGCAUGAUACAAAAAAAAAGAUCAAAGUGAAACUACCUUCUUUCAUGGAAUUACGUUUAAUUUUAAAGAGAUGCGUUAUUUGAUUUAUUAUGUUGAUGCCUUUUUACUAUGAAGUUUUGGAACUGUUUUUUAAAAUGUUUAGUUGGAAAUUCAUAAAAUAUGGGAGCGCUUGAGCUUGUGAUCUAAGCCGAGAGCAGGAUGAAAAUGGCUUCAGUAACUCUGCGGCUGUGGCUGCAAGUUCAAAGGUAUCGCAAAAAUACCAUUGCGUUUUAUCAAAAAUUAAACCAACUGAAGAACUUUUAACACUUCAGACUUUAUUGCACAAGUUACUAUCGUUCCUAUCGGAAUAGUUUCUAAUUGCUGUAUCGCUUUCGUAUCAUAAGGACGUGACGUCUUGGUGGAACAGUUUUUCCUGAGAGCGGAUAAGAAUUUGAUAAAAUAGCGACAUCGUCGGCGAUGAUUUUCGCAGAAAUGUCGUGUCGAAUUAGUAACUUCUGUAAUAGAAAAUGCUGGCAGGGUGUAAUUCACAAAGGUCUUAACCAACACUUUUCGAAACUGCGUUUUUAGCAGAUUUCGGUAGGAUGUAUUAAAAACACCUUCAAUACACCUUCGAGGCACGGCGGCAAUACUGCAGCACUGAUCAAAAUUUUGCAAUACUGUUGCAACUUCCCAACUGAUAAAACGUAGCUAGAAACUUACACCGAACGUGAUACUUAAAUAAUUCGCGCAACACUGCGGCUGUGAUUGCAUCUCGACAAGCCCAAAUUUUGAAGUGU
rnacentral:misc_RNA from 1 species